AAACCGUCAGACUGUGAAUCUGAAGAUAGGCUGUAACAAUCCUUAUUUACC
rnacentral:tRNA from 1 species